rnacentral:rRNA from 1 species
GACGAACGCUGGCGGCGUGCUUAACACAUGCAAGUCGAACGGAAAGGCCCCUUUGGGGGUACUCGCGUGGCGAACGGGCGGGUAACACGUGCGUAACCUGCCCUUGACUUCGGGAGAACUACAGGAAACUGGGGCGAAUACCGGAUAGGAAUCAUUGCUGCAUGGUGGGGGUUGGAAAGCUUCGGGGGGUUUGGGUGGACUCGCGGCUUAUCAGCUUGUUGGUGGGGUAGUGGCUUACCAAGGCAUUGACGGGUAGCCGGCCUGAGGGGGCGACCGGCCACAUUGGGACUUAGAUUCGGCCCAGACUCCCACGGGAGGCAGCAGUGGGGAAUAUUGCACAAUGGGCGGAAGCCUGAUGCAGCCACGCCGCGUGCGGGAUGACGGCCUUCGGGUUGGAAACCGCUUUCAGCAGGGGCGAAGCUUGUGGUGACGGUACCUGCAGAAGAAGCACCGGCUAACUACGUG